UGGGGAAUAUUGCACAAUGGGCGGAAGCCUGAUGCAGCAACGCCGCGUGCGGGAUGACGGCCUUCGGGUUGUAAACCGCUUUCGCCUGUGACGAAGCGUGAGUGACGGUAAUGGGUAAAGAAGCAACGGCUAACUACGUGCCAGCAGCCGCGGUGAUACGUAGGGUGCGAGCGUUGUCCGGAUUUAUUGGGCGUAAAGGGCUCGUAGGUGGUUGAUCGCGUCGGAAGUGUAAUCUUGGGGCUUAACCCUGAGCGUGCUUUCGAUACGGGUUGACUUGAGGAAGGUAGGGGAGAAUGGAAUUCCUGGUGGAGCGGUGGAAUGCGCAGAUAUCAGGAGGAACACCAGUGGCGAAGGCGGUUCUCUGGGCCUUUCCUGACGCUGAGGAGCGAAAGCGUGGGGAGCGAACA
rnacentral:rRNA from 1 species